AGAGAGCUACAGAUUCGGAUGACAGGCAGCUUCGACGGAGGGAUUCGGAGCUAGAUCAAGAUGCCCGGAAGAACAGUCCACCGGGCCGGCGAUGCGGAUCGGAAGGAACGCUUUCCCAAGUAUAGAGAGAGAGAGAGAGAGAGAGAGAGAGAGAGAGAGAGAGAGAGGAGCGACGACUUCGGGGAGACUGGAGGCGGAGGCCGUUGAAGGAGGGAGGGGAGGGAUUGUUCACGGCGGAUCAGAAGAGGGUUAAGAUCUGACCGCCCAUGUCCAUCAUCGACGGGUUCGAUCUUGAUGGACGGUUGGAUCGUGUCGAUAAUGGUCGCCAAAACAAGAAAUCUAGAACCUUCUUCGGCUUG
rnacentral:lncRNA from 1 species